rnacentral:misc_RNA from 1 species
GUAGGUGAACCUGCGGAAGGAUCAUUAUUGAAGUUGAUUCGGGUUGUCGCUGGCUCUCAGGAGCAUGUGCACGCUCGUUCAUAUUCAUUCUCUCUUGUGCACCUUUAGCUAGACUAUGAAUACCUCUCGAGUGAAAAUCUCGGCUUGCGGGCUGCCCCUCCCCUUUCUUCCCUUUCCUUUUCCUAGUCUCUUUCUUCCUCUCCCC